rnacentral:rRNA from 1 species
GACGAACGCUGGCGGCGUGCUUAACACAUGCAAGUCGAACGAAGAGCGAUGGAAGCUUGCUUCUAUCAAUCUUAGUGGCGAACGGGUGAGUAACGCGUAAUCAACCUGCCCUUCAGAGGGGGACAACAGUUGGAAACGACUGCUAAUACCGCAUACGAUCUAAUCUCGGCAUCGAGGAUAGAUGAAAGGAGGCCUCUACAUGUAAGCUAUCACUGAAGGAGGGGAUUGCGUCUGAUUAGCUAGUUGGAGGGGUAACGGCCCACCAAGGCGAUGAUCAGUAGCCGGUCUGAGAGGAUGAACGGCCACAUUGGGACUGAGACACGGCCCAGACUCCUACGGGAGGCAGCAGUGGGGAAUCUUCCGCAAUGGACGAAAGUCUGACGGAGCAACGCCGCGUGAGCGAUGACGGCCUUCGGGUUGUAAAGCUCUGUUAAUCGGGACGAAAGGCCUUCUUGCGAAUAGUGAGAAGGAUUGACGGUACCGGAAUAGAAAGCCACGGCUAACUACGUG